UUGGGCUUUUCGCCAUAAUUGACAAGUGAUUGGCAAAAAUUAUCAACCAAGCCAUCGUAGAGUCAGCAUACAAAAAAUGUUGUUAGUAGCUGUAACUAAUGCAGUAAAUAAUGUGCAAGACAUUUCAGACAUGUUAAGGGUUUCUCUGUCUCCUGGCAACGACAGGGUCAUCAGAAUGAGGAAACUCAUUGUUCGUGAAAUCAGCACGACUACUGAAUUCAAACAGGGCAGGACAAAGGAAACAAGAGGAGCUGAUGGCAAUGUGUGAGAAGAACGCUGUGUGCUACAGUGCACAUAAAGUAAGCCCAGUGAGGGACCAGACCACUUGUGUCUUCGUUAGGUUUGCUGCUCUUAAUCUUCUUAAUGCUGCUGUUCUCUAAACAUCCAUUCAGGGUUGAGGCAACACGCUUCUUGACAGCAUCAGUGAUGUCCACUCCAGCCUCCCUGGCCAUUGCCAAGACAUUCUGGCCUGAAAUGGAGACCCCACGUUUAACAGCCAGUCAUGACUUCAACCUGGGCCACGGGUAGGACACAAACACAAAAACAAUUCAAACAGGAGAUCUGUUUGUCUUCUGCCAGAUGUCUUCGGGUCCUCUUGCACAUGCUUAAUUCUUCAAUAAAACACUUGAGUCAAAUAGA